GUGAUUGGGGGCGCGCCUUAACCAAGUCCCUGCACCUUUCACGUCUCUCUUCUCUGGCCUGAGGAAAGCGAGUUAUGACCACCUCUUUCCUCAUGGGGGUGUAGUGAGGCUUUGUUUAGCUAUUUCGAGAGCUGUGCUACAUCCAGAUGAAAGAAGCUCUGUUAGUGAGGAGCAGAAGGAGACGGAGCACAAAGAAAUGUGUAAAAAGGCUGCCUGAAGGAUGUAACUGGUCAGGAUUAAAAACCUACCACGCUUCUCCCGCAAGGGGACAGGCACGCAGAAGCGGUGAGACCCAGGGGGCUCCUGUAGAGACAGCUGUCAGCUCAUCAGCCCACCACGGGGACCAGUCUCUGCCGAGGUGACAGAAGCUGGGACCAGUCAGGCUUCAGGCAAGAGAAGCAGCCCUUCACAAGCCUUGGGGGCCAAUGCGGGUCCCUCCACCCUCACAGAGUCCCCCCCCGGGGACAGCAAAUCAGACACCGCAGCAGAAACCUGGAGAAAACAGAGUUCCCUUGGUACUCAGCACCAGAUGGCACCCUUUCAGAUAAGACUUUCCAAGUGUCCACAGCAUCCUUUCGCCGCCACUCACCCUGAGGCAGCCCCUCCCUCGACACCUGCCUCCUCCAAGCUGCUCCUCCCUAGGGCCUCUAAAAUGGGUCAGACCCUGCAAGUUCUGGAAAAACUUCUCCUCCUCCAGCUUACUAGUUUCUAGAAGCCACGGCACCUCCUUCUGCCUGCCUGAAUUGGUACCUUCAAACUCACUCUUUCCCUCCACACCCCUCCCUGCCUGUCUCUAGCACUUGAGUCUCUCACCCAUCCUUGAAGACCCUGACAAAUCUCACUGCCCCCUCUCCUCACCCACCCAAAGCCUCGGAGAUUCCCCAGUAGGGCUGUUUGUGUCUCCCUCUCCUUGCCCUCCCGGUGGGCUUUAUUUGAAAUAAACCUAAAUUAAAUCUACUUGCAUGAUCGUUGCUAUGAUUAGAUGUUUCUUUCGAGCUCUUGAUUUCAAGCCCUUAGAGGGCAGGGUGGCACGGGGCUCACCCUGUUAGCCUUUGGGUCCUGCGUCUUUGAAGUCGUUCAGUCAGUGUUUGCAGAGUUCGUCCGAAAAGGUGAGUAGAAGCUGCAAGAGG
rnacentral:lncRNA from 9 species